rnacentral:lncRNA from 1 species
CUUGUAGCACAGUCGCUACCAUAGUCCCGAUGCCCUUUCUGGGUAGUGAUGCCAUCAUUGUCCCGAGGCACGUUCUGGCAAGGCGAGAGGCUCUGCUUGUAGCACAGACGCUACCAUAGUCCCGAGGCUCUGUCUGGCAAGACCAGAAGCUCUGCACCUAGCAGAUGCCGCCAUAGUCCCGAGGCACCGUCUGGCAAGGUACUUCGGGCAAAUCAAGCCAUCUGAAGUGCGAUACAAAAGUGCAACCAGUGG